rnacentral:rRNA from 1 species
GACAGAGGUGCCAAGCGUUAGGCGGAAUCACUGGGCUUAAAGCGUGUGUAGGCGGAUCGUUAAGUACCUUGUGAAAUCCCACGGCUCAACCGUGGAACUGCUGGGUAUACUGGCGGUCUUGAGCCACCUAGGGGCAACUGGAACAAGCGGUGGAGCGGUGAAAUGCGUAGAUAUCGCUUGGAACGCCGAAGGUGAAAACAGGUUGCUGGGGAUGUGCCGACGCUGAGACACGAAAGCCAGGGGAGCAAACGGG